GAGCGGUUCUAAAACAGACUUCAUCCGGUGGGCUAAGGCGGGGAGGCCGCCUGCGCGCGCGUGUGUCCGGGAGCCUUUCCUUGGAGGAGGCGGGGCCUCGUGGCGGCGUGCGAGGGACCUGACCAAUGACUGAUUCAGGUUCUGUGGAGGUGGGAAGACCAGACAGAGCCAGUAGUUUCCCUCUCUCCAGGCAAGUGGUGGCAAAGUGAAGAAUGAAGGGAAAGAAGCUGCUCAUUAACUGCAUUCCUGCUGGGCCAAGGAGCAGCCUGACUGGGGAAACCCCGCCCUUGCUUCUUCCCAACCUCAGAAUUGUGCUGGAGAGAAAUAAGAUAUUGGAUAAUAAACGGCCCCUCAAAUACAUCCUGAUGAUGACGGUGCCCAGUGCCGAGAGCACGUGAAGGGGAAGCCAACCAAGCCCUUCUCCAUGCAGGCUUGUGGCUCUGCCCCUGAAUUUUCCAGCUGUGGAGAGAGGGUAUGAGUUCUGCCCUUACCUCUCACAUCCACCCGACAGUCCACAGAUGCCUCCCCCAGGGGGUUAACUGCCUUGCAGGUGUAGAUACCCCCAUCAAAGGGACCCGGCUUGCGGAUUUCGAGAGAGCAGAUUCCCAGACUGGUCCAGCCUGUAGGGUUUGCCUUUCUACUCCAUUUCUGCAUUUGUCCUCAACAGCACUCCAUUUAUCAAAGCCACUUUCAAUGUUAGUCUGGACCUCCAAGCGUCAGCCCUGCUUCCCAGUUUGAGGCCACACUGGAGGAGAAAGUUUUCCACUCUGCAGGCAGAGUCAACACCCUGGACCCACCGGGACAGCACUGACGUCACUGAAGAGGGAGCUGGUGUCUGGGUCCCUUCCUCUGUGUGGCUAUGCUGCUUGGACGACCUGUGCGAUGCUCUUCCAGUUGGUGGAGGAUCGCUUUGUACCAACAGACUCUGGGAAUCUGGGAAAAAUUAGGCCACCCCUCCCUGCUCCUUGAUGUUCCAGGCCUGUUCCAGUGAGUCGAGGGAUUAGUUUAUGUCCCUUGGCUUCCAGGAUGGAGGCAGGAGACGCUCAGGAAAAGUGCUGAGUGUGAGGUUUGGAAGACGACCAGGUGUGACCGCUUUCCUCUCCGGAUGUCUUGGGCUGCCUCGGCUGAGAAAGUGCAAACAUCCCACCUGGUUCCCUUGGGGGCCUGGCUGAGACUGCACCAUUUUCUAGCUUUCUCGGGGCUCCUGUCUCCUUCUUCCUCAGGCAGACAGUCGCCUGUUGCUGCUGUCAAAAGUGGAAUGUGACAGCGCCUCAUUCCUCACUACCUCCCCGGCCUCUCUGCACAAUUCUUUUGUGGAGUCGUAAAAAACCUCACCCAGGUCACUACCGAGGCAAACAGCACCACUGUGUGAUAGUGGGCUGUAAACUUUCUGAUAACGUAACAUUUCCCGACGAUACAUUGCUGAGCACUCCAUUCCACUUCACGGUCUGUGUGUUCACUUACAAAUUGAACUGUUUAAAUAUGUACAUUAUACAAUGCAAACUUUUGGUGAAAUUUAAAAUACAGUACGUAGGGGUUCUACUGUGUUCUUCCUAUACCUCAAUUUGUAGCCCACUGUUUAGAGAGCAGGAACCUCCUUCCCAUGGUCUGCCCUGUCACCACCCCGAGGUCACUUUUUGCCUUUGGAAAUAAAUAUAAACACAGAUAGUGCA